rnacentral:lncRNA from 1 species
CAGAACUCCAGUGGCUACAGAGAAGCGACAGUUGGCAGAGCCAACAACAGCACAUGGGAGACACCAGGGUCCCUUGGCAAAGGAGGAUCAAGGAAGCAGUGGAGAGAAACUCAUCAGACAGGAAAAUAAGCAAGAAGAUUCUGAAGUCUUUUCUACAUUCGUUUGUGGAGAAAGAGUGGUGUAGCCCAGGGCUGUGUCUGCUUCAAAAUGCAGGGAGAGUCAGCCUACAGUCCAUAAUUAGCACCAUGUCAUUCCAGUGAGAGCCACAGUCCUGUGCCACCCCGUGGGACCCAAGUCCUGAUCAUGAAAAUCCAUGCCUGCACAUCCUCUCUGAAGGACCCGAAAAAGUCCCUUGGAAAGGGCCAUUCAUCCCUCAUAGUGUCUCUCUAGCAUCUGCCUGGUCCACUGUGCCAUAAAAUGAAAUCUCUCUUAAUGAGAAACUGCACCUACCUUUUGGCCUCCGGUUUCUGAAUUUCACAGCUUAUUAUGAACGUUUCCAUUUAUUCAGAGGGUGCCUUUCUGACGUGUUAA